CGUAGCCUAGAAAGUAUUACGUGCUCUCUCCAAUCAUAUGACUUAGAUAGAGAAGGUUGAAGCUUAUAGGUGGUGCCCUAAGCGCAAAGAAGCUCCCAUCAUGCUACUUCCACUAUAUGCUUAACACAUGCGAGUCGAACACGCUCUGUAAACAAAGGUCGACCAUUCUUAUCUAAUCGAAAGGCUAAUUCGCGAUAGACGAGUGGGCGAGACGGAAAUGGGGGUCGUGGAAGAAUUGGGUUCGAGUCCCAUAGCCCCAAUGUGUCGAAAUAGAAUGAUUGGGUCGACCAGGCCCAG